rnacentral:tRNA from 1 species
ACCUAUGUAAUAUAUAAAAAGUAUAGUUGAUUUCCAAUCAAAAAGUCUAAAUUUUAGUAUAGGUA